UCCUCGGUGGAGUCGGGUUUCGAAGCCGGCACCUUCCGGCUCCAAAGACGAGACCUUACCACUAGGCCACCGAGG